CACAGGAAUUCGGGUCGGUUGGGCUAAGAGCAGUAAGGGAAAAAAACCCACAACCCAAAAAUAAUAAUAAAAAGAGAGUUGAUGUUUUCAUCAGGGAAGUAGGAAGUCUUCUGGAGCCCACACUCCUGUUACUGGGUCCCACACCUGAGCCAUAAGGACAAGAAAGGAGGAAAAUCUAUUUCCACACCAGAGACACUUCCUGAUCAACCCAGGAACAGUUGGAUAUCCCUUGUCCAUCAUCUUAGGAAAAAAGAAAGCUGUGUUAGAAUCAAAGGUUCUCACAAAAAAGGAGAGACUGCAAAGGAAGGAGACACUGCCUGCAAAGCUGUGAUCCUUUCCUUAGUCACAUUCUAAAAUCCAAGAUUUAUUAUUGCUGGACCUGUCUCAUUUCCCUGACACAAGGUCUUAGUCACAGAGUGCUGUAGAGCCCAUUCCCAUUGUUCCUGAGCUCUGGACUGCUAUAAAAGGCGGCCAAGGGCACUCAGUGUCACUGCACUGGAACAUCACCACGGGGCUGGCAGGAGACUCUGCAGGUCAGGACUUCACUGGGAUCCAAACAACACCAUCAGUGAAAGAAAGAGCAGAGGAAAAGAUUUCUGAUCACACCGUCAGCUUCUGGUCCUGUGGAGCUGAUUUAAAGAAGAGAGA